CUGAUCCUCUUAGACAUUAGGAAAGUGGUUGAGUUUUUUUUUCCAAAAGGCACAAAUGAUGGAUAAAACCACCUGCUGUCUGAAAAGACUCUUUGUGAGUCAUCAAGCGUCUAUUUCUGUCAUUUCUAACCAGCAGUGAGUCAACACUAAGAGGAGCACAUGGAUGAAAAGACACCUUCAAUUUUUUUCUCCAGCGGUUGCACAAAAAGGAAAAGGCUAAUAGGCGUGUGUGUUUGUAGUAGGCAGUGGGAGGCUGUGUGAGGUGAAGAGUGCAGCGUCGGGCCUGAGUCGGGGUGAGAGAGGAGCAGGUGGACCACACGGGUUCCCAUAAAUCUGCCUCGUCGGCCGUGAGGGCUCACUUUGACAAAUUCUUCAUGAGCCCGCUCAGCAGAACAACAGCUGCGGCUCUGGGGGAAGAGACUAUUACCGUGGCACCGGCAGACCUCCGAGGGCACGGGCGAAGACGUGGCGUCUGGUUGGUCCAGUCCGGUUUUAAUGUGGAAAAAGUCAGAGGAACACUGGUGACAGGGAAAUGCUGUGACUGACGCUGCAACUGUGUUUAAGAAAAUGAGAGAAAUCUGGGAAAAUAACGAAUGGUUUUAUUUGGGAAAAGGAGAGAACCUCAUUUAUUUAGUACCCAUGUCGGUGUAACUGCCGUUCUACUUCUGCCACUAGGUGUCCAUCUUGCCUUACCCUGCACCCGGCGACAGUGAGGGGAGACACUGAUUCGAGUGGAGGCUUUCCGAGUCACAUGCAAUUAAUAAUGGAAAUCUUGGUUCAGGAGGCUGCAUCUCUACUUCGGCUCAGAUCAAAAAUGAUUGAAAUAUUCAGAUGAACUGAUGAAC